AAGGCAGGGCUAGACUGUAGUUCCAGCUAAUAUGUGCAUCUCAGCUGCAUGUGCCUCAUCUCCCUGUAUCUACAUGAGUGACUUUUGCAUGGCUAAAAAGUCUUUUUUGAUGCAGCUCUUCCUGUCUUGUUUGCUUAUAGAGAAACCAUGAUCAGGAAGGUAGUUUAUACCAGAGUGGAGUUAGUGCCAUUUUCCAAACACUGAAAACUCCACCAAACAUUUGGUAGUAUAAAGAAACUGUGCACUUCCUUGAGGAAAAGUAAAGCCCUUUCAUUCUUGGCUUCUUUUCGGACUUCCAAAUGUGACUCCCUUUACAGUUGCCUUGGUGAUUUUUUUGCUCAUCUGUCAUUGCAGGUGGUCCCUAUUCUUCACCUGUUUCCUCUUCCUCCAUUAUUUACUGAGUGACUUGACCUGUGAUAAUAUAAACACAAGAAGGGCUCCAGAAGUCAUGGAUAAGUAUUGGCUGAUGGUGAUAAAAAGCUUUCCUAUAAGAAAUUCCACUUUGGUUCCCAAAAAGACAUCCCAAAGGAAAGUACACUACAAGAAGACUAUGCAUGAUACAAACCUAAAAGACAAGAGUAACAAGGAUGACGCUGAUAAGGGAGGCUCUGGUCAAAUGAUAAAGGACCUGUGUUCCAUGCUAAGGAAACAGAAAGUAUUGAGGGUUUGAGCAGUGUAGAAAAUGAUCAAAUCUAUGUUCUGAAAUCACUCUGGUGCCUAGGAUAGUGGAUAAGAGUUUGGAGAAAUGAGAGACUGGAGGAAUAAUUUGGAAGUCAAAACAGGAGCUUCAACAGCCAGAGUUGGAAAUAUAGAUGUUCUAAUGGGGAAGGGAGAGAAGAAAUGGCAAGAUCUAUUUUCAGCUAUCUUUGCAAGGUGACAAAAGUCAAAGCGGUCGAAUCCUCUGGAAUCUUGUAUAUUUCUAUCCUACAGGAUGCUAUGCUCACAUACUGUUGACUGAAGCUUUAUGUAAUAAAGCCUCAGCAUAAAAAAGCA
rnacentral:lncRNA from 1 species